AUUGAACGCUGGCGGCAUGCUUUACACAUGCAAGUCGAACGGUAACAGGCCUUCGGGUGCUGACGAGUGGCGAACGGGUGAGUAAUGCAUCGGAACGUACCCAGAGGUGGGGGAUAACGCAGCGAAAGCUGUGCUAAUACCGCAUGUGAUCUGAGGAUGAAAGCGGGGGACCGAGCAGCAAUGUUUGGCCUCGCGCCUUUGGAGCGGCCGAUGUCGGAUUAGCUAGUUGGUGGGGUAAAGGCCUACCAAGGCGACGAUCCGUAGCUGGUCUGAGAGGACGACCAGCCACACUGGGACUGAGACACGGCCCAGACUCCUACGGGAGGCAGCAGUGGGGAAUUUUGGACAAUGGGCGCAAGCCUGACCCAGCAAUGCCGCGUGCGGGAAGAAGGCCUUCGGGUUGUAAACCGCUUUUGGCAGGAACGAAACGGUGUCCGCUAAUACCGGGCGCUAAUGACGGUACCUGCAGAAUAAGCACCGGCUAACUAC
rnacentral:rRNA from 1 species